CGGUAAGGAGCUGGUCUGCCAGCGGGGUGGGUUUGCCCUGCAGCACUGCUGCCUGGUUUUAGAGUACCAUGGGAACACAGCCUUUGCACAGCACCAACCAGGCCUAUCCACGAAGGAGAAAGGAAUAGAUACAGUGAAUUAAGAGUGCAAUAAGGUACUCUUUCUCUCCUUAUCACUUCCCUUCGGAGCAGCGACCAACUCCAGAAGAAAGGCAGGUUGGGACCCGUUACCAUUGCCUUUUACUUGCAUUUCCCAUGCGCUCAUAUCCUAUUUGCUGUAGGAUGUGUCAGAACAUUCAUUUCGCACAUUCAGGUCUCUCUGCUGUGGGACAGAGCAUGCCCAGCCCCUUGUGCGUGUGCCGAAGGGGUUAGAUAAGGGCGCAGCACUUUACCUGGUUGAAGCCCUCACUUUAAGAGCAGAGCUGUGGAGCCGGCUGGCUCCCCAGGGCUGCAGCACCCGUAUGAACUGCCGCAAAGUGGUGCCCAAAGCAAUAGCUGCCAAUGCUACUGAGCAUGCCAAUCAGCAGUUCAGGCAGAGAAAGAAGAGGUUGCUGUUUUCAACACCAUUCCUGCUGACUCUGUCACAGUCAAUGACAUACCAAGCUUCAAAAACAGCAAUUGUGCAACAUCUAGGAAAACACUGGCUAGGUUUUGACAGCUUUCAAUGGUGACUGUGGGCGCCCUGCACAAGGAGGAUGAGUUCCCCAGAGACAGUACCAUUUUCAUGCUGCUUCUGGAAAUUCAUCUAUCUUAGUCAGUGCUGGGUUUUUCUUAACUUUGCUGGUUUGUGUGAAUGUUUUAAAUUAAUCUCAAAUAUAGAACAGUUUUAAAAAAAAAUAUACAGAAUUCUGUCAGUUACUGAAUCAUACCAGAGACAGUUUUGGAGCCAGAAUAUGGAACAUUAUUUGUUCCAUAUUCUCAGUUUAUUUGUUGAGACAACAGAAUACAGAACAGGUAAAGAUGACUGUUUCUUAAAAUACUCUAAGCUGGUGUGAUUCUCAUAACUGAUUAUUAAUGAAUAUAGUUGAAAUUUAUGGUUUAUGCUACCUUCCACUAUUUAACUUUUCAUGGAUCUUUCCUGUGCAUGAUAGCAAAGGUAGGCUCUGAUCACAAGAUACACAGCCUGGUAGUGCUACUGCCUUGAUGAAGUUUCAUCAUAGAGUGAUCACUGGGCAAUACUGAGAACAUUUUAUGAAAAUCAAGCCGCUAAAGCUUUAGUGCGAAAUUCUGGAGGCACCACUUCUUGCUGUUAUGUGUGUUCCAGCCUCCCAGUGCAGCAUCUCACUGGGGAACAUGGCAAAGCUAGAUGGUGUUUAACACAACUAUGUUUCAAGUGAUUUUUUUUCCCCAAAAUCCAGA